GAUGAACGCUGGCGGCGUGCCUAAUACAUGCAAGUCGAGCGAACAGACGAGGAGCUUGCUCCUCUGACGUUAGCGGCGGACGGGUGAGUAACACGUGGAUAACCUACCUAUAAGACUGGGAUAAAUUCGGGAAACCGGAGCUAAUACCGGAUAAUAUAUUGAACCGCAUGGUUCAAUAGUGAAAGACGGUUUUGCUGUCACUUAUAGAUGGAUCCGCGCCGCAUUAGCUAGUUGGUAAGGUAACGGCUUACCAAGGCGACGAUGCGUAGCCGACCUGAGAGGGUGAUCGGCCACCCUGGAACUGAGACACGGUCCAGACUCCUACGGGAGGCAGCAGUAGGGAAUCUUCCGCAAUGGGCGAAAGCCUGACGGAGCAACGCCGCGUGAGUGAUGAAGGUCUUCGGAUCGUAAAACUCUGUUAUUAGGGAAGAACAAAUGUGUAAGUAACUAUGCACGUCUUGACGGUACCUAAUCAGAAAGCCACGGCUAACUACGUG
rnacentral:rRNA from 1 species